CCAAUAGCGUAUAUUAAAGUUGUUGCAGUUAAAAAGCUCGUAGUUGAAUUUCGGGAUCAUCAGGUUGGUCGUGCCUCUGGUAUGUACUGAUUUCGAUGGUUCCUCCUUCUUGUAGAACCGUAAUGCCAUUAAUUUGGUGUUGCGGGAAAACAGGACUGUUACUUUGAAAAAAUUAGAGUGUUUAAAGCAGGCAAUCGCUUGAAUACAUUAGCAUGGAAUAAUGAAAUAGGACGUUUGAUCCUAUUUUGUUGGUUUCUAGGAUUGACGUAAUGAUUAAUAGGGAUAGUUGGGGGCAUUAGUAUUAAAUUGUCAGAGGUGAAAUUCUUGGAUUUAUUGAAGACUGACUACUGCGAAAGCAUUUGCCAAGGAUGUUUUCAUUAAUCAAGAACGAAAGUUAGGGGAUCGAAGACGAUCAGAUACCGUCGUAGUCUUAACCAUAAACUAUGCCGACUAGGGAUCGGAUGAUGUUAAUUUUUUAAUGACUCAUUCGGCGCCUUACG
rnacentral:rRNA from 1 species